rnacentral:lncRNA from 1 species
AUGGCCUCCAGGGAUUUUUCAAUAGGCAUGAUCUUCUUAUCUCAGAUCAUAGUUGGAUUCCUGGGGAAUUUCUUUCUUCUUUACCACUAUAGUUUCCUUUGUUUCACCAGAGGUAUGUUAUGGUCCACAGAUCUGAUUCUCAAGCACCUGACCAUAGCCAACUCCUAGGUUAUACUCUAAAGGAAUCCCACAAACAAUGGCUGCUUUUGGGUCGAAAGAUUCCCUCAGUGAUAUUGGAUGCAAACUUGUGUUUUAUGUUCACAGAGUGGGCAGGGCUGUGUGCGUUGGCAAUGCCUGCCUCCUGAGUGUCUUCCAGGUCAUCACCAUCAGCCCCAGCGAAUUCAGGUGGGCACAGCUUAAACUACAUGCUCCCAGAUACAUCAGGUCCUUCAACAUCCUGGUCCUGUGCUGGAUUCUGAACACGCUGGUAAAUAUUACUGUUCCUCUACAUGUGACUGGCAAGUGGAACAGCAUAAAUAGCACAAAGACAAAUGAUUAUAAGUAUUGUUCUGGAAGAGGUAGGAGCAGAAUUCUACAGUCAUUACAUAUUGUCUUGUUAUCAUCCCUUGAUGUUUUGUGUUUGGGGCUCAUGGCCUUGGCCAGUGGCUCCAUGGUUUUUAUCCUGCACAGGCUCAAGCAGCAGGUCCAGCACAUUCAUGGGACCAACCUCUCCCCCAGAUCCUCCCCUGAGUCCAGAGUCACCCAAAGCAUCCUGGUCCUGGUGAGCACCUUGUGUUAUUUUACUCGCUCUCCUCCAUCUUUACACGUCUUUUUCCUAAUCCCAGUUGGUGGCUGUUGAACACCUUGGCACUGAUCACUGCCUGUUUUCCCACGGUCAGCCCCUUUGUGCUCAUGAGCAGCCAUCCCAGAAUAGCCAGGCUGGGCUCUGCUUGCUGUGGAAGGAAUCCACAGUUGCCUAAGCUGAUCAGAUAG